rnacentral:tRNA from 1 species
GCAGCUGGAAGCGUGGCCGAGUGGUUUAAGGCAACGGUCUUGAAAACCGUCGAUGGGCAACUAUCCUAGAGUUCUUAUCUAAGGUUCCUUCCAGUUGCA